UACGUAGGGGGCAAGCGUUGUCCGGAAUCAUUGGGCGUAAAGCGCGUGUAGGCGGUUCGGUAAGUCCGCUGUGAAAGUCGGGGGCUCAACCCUCGAAUGCCGGUGGAUACUGUCGGGCUAGAGUGCGGAAGAGGCGAGUGGAAUUCCUGGUGUAGCGGUGAAAUGCGCAGAUAUCAGGAGGAACACCAAUUGCGAAGGCAGCUCGCUGGGACGCUACUGACGCUGAGACGCGAAAGCGUGGGGAGCAAACAGG
rnacentral:rRNA from 1 species